CCCAACCGGGAAGCGGUGAACAGUCAGGGCUGGAUGCCUCCCUGGGCAGGGGGCCCAGGCAGGGGCUGGAACUUCCCAAUGCAGAGAGUAACCCUGUGCCCAGCAGGGAAGGGACCGCUUCUGUGCCCAUUUCACAGAUGCACAAACUAAGGCCAUCACACCAUGAGUGAGGGGCUAAGCCGGAGCUUAAGCCCACGAAGAGAAGAAGGAGGGGAAGAAGAUCAGGAACGGAACUCGCUCCUGCCCCCCUUGGCUGGGUCUUUCCUGGGCCAUGAAGGACGGGAGGGAGAAGACCGGGACAGGAGACGACCGUUUGGAGGGUGGAGGCAAAAUACUUGAGGGAGAGAAGCCAGACCAAGUGGCCUUCCUGUUCCAUUCAGGUUCCAGGGAGGAAAGGAACCGGCCCUAGGUGGAGAAUGGGCGGGGAGCCCUGCUGUGUGGUCUUGGCCACGCCCCUCUCUGGGCCAACCUGGUUGUCCAAAGGCCCCGGAGAAGGGAGAGACCCCUGUCAACGUUGGAGGGUUGGCUGGCUGGAGAGGGGCGCCCUCUUUUUCUUCUCAGUUGUCCGGCACAGGAAGCAGCUGGGAGUCAAAGCAUUGCAUACAACGCCAGGAGUUUGGCCACGUGCCCAGGAAUGAGGCUUGGAGCGGGGAGGGAAGCCGCAGAGGACCCAGGAAAGCUCUGAGGAAGAGAUCAAGCUGGAUCCUCACAAGAGACCCUGAAGACAGGCUCUGAUAUCAUCCCAUUACACAGAUGAGGAAACUGAGGCACAGAGCCACCACAUCGCCCACUGGGACCCCACCACCAGGAAAGAAUACAGGCAAAUCUGAACCCAGGCCACAAAGCUGGAACCUUCCCCGUGGC
rnacentral:lncRNA from 10 species